rnacentral:rRNA from 1 species
CAGCCGCCACGGUAAUACCAGCACCUCGAGUGGUCAGGAGGUUUAUUGGGCCUAAAGCAUCCGUAGCCGGUUGCAUAAGUUUUCGGUUAAAUCUAUGCGCUAAACGUAUAGGCCGCCGAAAAUACUGUGCAGCUAGGGAGUGGGAGAGGUACACGGUACUCGAUAGGAAGGGGUAAAAUCCUUUGAUCUAUUGAUGACCACCUGUGGCGAAGGCGGUGUACCAGAACACGUUCGACGGUGAGGGAUGAAAGCUGGGGGAGCAAACCGGAUUAGAUACCCGCGUAGUCCCUGUCUCUUAUAC